rnacentral:rRNA from 1 species
AUUGAAGCUGGAGCUUGCUCCGGCCGAUUUAGUGGCGGACGGGUGAGUAACGCGUGGGUAACCUGCCUCAUACAGGGGGAUAGCAGUUGGAAACGACUGGUAAAACCGCAUAAGCGCACGGUGUUGCAUGACACAGUGUGAAAAAACUCCGGUGGUGUGAGAUGGACCCGCGUCUGAUUAGCCAGUUGGCGGGGUAACGGCCCACCAAAGCGACGAUCAGUAGCCGGCCUGAGAGGGUGAACGGCCACAUUGGGACUGAGACACGGCCCAAACUCC